rnacentral:rRNA from 1 species
GAAAGUUUCUUUUGGAAAUUUUUCGGAAGGAAAAAAGGAAUGGAAAUUAGCGGACGGGUGAGUAACGCGUGAGAAACCUGCCUCACACAAGGGGAUAGCCAUUGGAAACGGUGAUUAAUACCCUAUGACAUGGACGCUUCGCAUGGAGCAGCCAUUAAAGUGUUAGCGGUGUGAGAUGGUCUCGCGUCUGAUUAGCUAGUUGGUGAGAUAAUAGCUCACCAAGGCGGCGAUCAGUAGCCGGCUUGAGAGAGUGAACGGCCACACUGGAACUGAGACACGGUCCAGACUCCUACGGGAGGCAGCAGUGGGGAAUAUUGCACAAUGGAGGAAACUCUGAUGCAGCGACGCCGCGUGAGCGAAGAAGGCCUUCGGGUUGUAAAGCUCUGUCCUUGGUGAAGAUAAUGACGGUAGCCAAGGAGGAAGCCCCGGCUAACUACGUGCCAGCAGCCGCGGUAAUACGUAGGGGGCGAGCGUUGUCCGGAAUUAUUGGGCGUAAAGGGUACGUAGGCGGUUUUUUAAGUCAGCAGUUAAGGCGCGGGGCUCAACCCCGUAAAGCUGUUGAAACUGGAGAACUUGAGAGAUGGAGAGGAAAGUGGAAUUCCUAGUGUAGCGGUGAAAUGCGUAGAUAUUAGGAGGAAUACCGGUGGCGAAGGCGACUUUCUGGACAUCAACUGACGCUGAGGUACGAAAGCGUGGGGAGCAAACAGGAUUAGAUACCCUGGUAGUCCACGCCGUAAACGAUGAGUGCUAGGUGUCGGGGGUCAAACCUCGGUGCCG